GGGGGAGGUUGUAGGUCUGAAGUGACCACUAGUGAAGGAUGAGCUGGGACAAGUCAUGGUGCAGCCUGCAGGAGGUGAUGAGUGUGUUAGGGAGGUGAGGAGGGAAGGAGUCCCCAGGAGGGCCUGUGGGUGUAGGUUGUAGCUUGUGCAAGGGCCUGGGAGCCUGAAAACAGCCUGAGAUGGGAUGGGCUGGGCGGGGUCUGCGCAUUGCCAGAGCUGAGCUGCAGCCAGAGGCCCAAUCCCUGCUGCUGCUCUGCCUUUCACUGCUGGCCACCGCUCUGCCUAUUUGCCUGCCCACAAAUUGGGGGUGAUUAUGGCAACUCCCUCUUAACUAGUGUUUGGCCUAUCCUGAGCCUGGUGUGUUUGUUAAACAAAAGCUGAGUCCACCUGGUGGGUGGCAGGUGGGAGCAGGGGAGUGACAGGGGCUCACUCUGGUUGCCCUGGGGCAUACAAGAAGGGAAGGGUGAGGCCAGGCUAGUGGCCUAACACCAGCGGGUCUCACCUCAGAGCACACACAAAUCCUGGUGUGCCAAGAGAUAUUUAAAUAUUUAAAGAAAAAGUUUUAUUUCCUAUGCAUUUCUUUUCAUAUGCGUUAGGGGAGAAAAUGAGCUACUACAUGAAACCUUUUUUUACAGAUGUUAUUAUUUGAAAUCAUGAAAGUUUCCAAUCUUGAACAAAUUUUAAAUAAAAUCCCUAGUGAGAGGGCAGUUUAAGGAAAAAUUAUCUGGAGUUGGGGUAUUUUAGUGGUUCACUGAUACAGCGGAUACAGCCAGGUGUACCAGCUAUGGCAUCUGUUCGGAGAGAGCUGCAAUCUGAGAACUGCCACCCCUCAGGAGCUAGGCUGUGUGGUUGUGGGGGCAGCAUUCCCCAGCCACACCACACCGUUCCUCACUUUAUUUAAUUUAUUUUUUUGAAAUGGAGUCUAGCUCUGUCACCCAGGCUGGAGUAUAGUGGUACGAUCUCGGCUCACUGCAACCUUCACCUCCUGGGUUCAAAUGAUUCUCGUGCCUCAGCCUCCAGGGUAGCUGGGACAACAGGUGCCUGCCACCAUGCCCAGCUGAUUUUCAUAUUUUUAGUAGAGACAUUGUUUCACCAUGCUGGCCAGGGUGGUCUGGAACUCCUGACCUCGAGUGAUCCGUGCACCUCAGCCUCCCAAAAUGCUGAUAUUACAGGCGUGAGCCACGGCGUCCCCAUUCCUCACUUUAGCCUCAGGCAGAGAAGCCAGCGCGAUGGGGAGACACUUGUGUAGGAAGGUGUCCAAUGCGGUAUUGCAAAUCAACAGGAAACAUUGCCAGCAGCCGCAGCGAGCAGCAAGUGGGGAAGGAAGUGAGAGAGCAUGGACGUGCAGAGCUUCCUGUAGCCAUGAGGGUGGUCAGUGCAGCCUCUGCAUCCACAAGGAAAAGGUGGAGGACAUUCAGGCACUAAGGGGUGCUCCCCAGGCUUAUAUGAGAAACCUGUGGCACAGACAGCCACACAGGAGUAGUGAACUACAACCAUGGAAUUUGAAAUUUAGUGUCUAAUACUUGGUUCUAAAAUUGGGUUGAUUUAAAUUCAGAAGUGUGCCCUACUCUGACAAAUGUUAAAAUAGACUAACAGAAGACACAUUUUGACACAGAGGCCCUGGGUUUGAGACUCCUCCAUUAUCCCUAAACCAGAGGAAGAGUUACUGUGUGAGAGCUGGGGAUAUUUGAUCUGAUUUCUGUUUAGUUUCUGUAAUGUAGCUUGGCUACCUUUAAAAUUAAAAAAAAUAAAAAUAAAAACCA
ensembl:lncRNA